rnacentral:lncRNA from 1 species
UUUUAUCGUGUGUUUUUUUCUAUGUUGUGAUGUUAUGCUAUUGUUUCAGAAAAAGGGAGAAGGUUUGGUACUAUUAAAACGUUUAAUCCCGCUGCAAAUGUUUUGCACCUGUCCUAAGUCAGGAAUCUGAUGUACAGUAGUUGUCGUUUGUUUAUGUAAUUUAUACGUGUUUCUCGUUUCUCGUUUUUUUUAUAUAGAUUAGACCGUUGGUUUUCCCGUUUGAAUGGUUUUACACUAGUAAUUUUGGGGCCCUUUAUAGCUUGUUGUUCGGUGUGAGCCAAGGCUCCGUGUUGAAGGCCGUACAUUGACCUAUAAUUUGGUUUACUUUAAAAUUGUUAUUUGGAUGGAGA